GAUGAAGAACGUAGUGAAAUGCGAUAAGUAAUGUGAAUUGCAGAAUUCAGUGAAUCAUCGAAUCUUUGAACGCACAUUGCGCCCGCCAGCAUUCUGGCGGGCAUGCCUGUUCGAGCGUCAUUUCAACCCUCGAGCCCCCCCGGGGGCCUCGGUGUUGGGGGACGGCACACCAGCCGCCCCCGAAAUGCAGUGGCGACCCCGCCGCAGCCUCCCCUGCGUAGUAGCACACACCUCGCACCGGAGCGCGGAGGCGGUCACGCCGUAAAACGCCCAAUUUUCUUAGAGUUGACCUCGGAUCAGGUAGGAAUACCCGCUGAACUUAAGCAUAUCAAUAAGCGGAGGA
rnacentral:misc_RNA from 1 species